UACAGAGGGGGCGAGCGUUGUUCGGAUUUACUGGGCGUAAAGGGCGCGUAGGCGGCGCAACAAGUCACUUGUGAAAUCUCCGGGCUUAACCCGGAGCGGUCAAGUGAUACUGUCGUGCUAGAGUGCGGAAGGGGCUACUGGAAUUCUCGGUGUAGCGGUGAAAUGCGUAGAUAUCGAGAGGAACACCUGCGGCGAAGGCGGGUAGCUGGGCCGACACUGACGCUGAUGCGCGAAAGCCAGGGGAGCGAACGGG
rnacentral:rRNA from 1 species